rnacentral:tRNA from 1 species
GGGUAUGUAGCUCAAUGGUAGAGUGCUUGCCUAGUAUGCUCAAGACCCUGGGUUCAAUCCCCAGUACUGCCA